rnacentral:lncRNA from 1 species
UUUGGAGAGAAUAUUGUAGGCAACAAACAACCAUACAUGUAUGGUAAAAGAGUGCUCAAAAUCAAUACUCGAUACCGUAUUAUCCGGAAGCUUCACCCUAAGUAGCAAAGGACCUAAAGAUAUAUCUGAAUGUCUUUACAUGUUUUCAAAUGUCAAACUUCAAAUUAAUCUCUAACUGAUUUACCUACGUGUUUGUAGGAUGAGAAUGUGGCCCUGUAUGGUAUAGCUUUGAUUGAGAGUGGCUUCAAGUUCACUCAGUUGGAGGUUUUCACUUUCCAUCCAUACAGAUUCAUUGAAGGAAAGAGUAAAUCGGAAGGGUGAUUUCCAGACAUUUUCUUCACAAGGUAGUUAGGUUUUUCAUAGUACUCAACUAUGGAAAACUUAUUGAAUUCGGGCUGCAUUAUAGAUUACUCUACUUCUACUCUAUAAAUAGAAACUAGAUUGGCUUUCGAGCUCUAAAAUUAAAUUAAAAAAUUAUUAUUAUAUUAUUAGAGUGGAAUCAUAUGCCAAAAGUUUGGGAUUUUGUUGAAAAAGUUCUUACAUUAAUUUGGAAAAAUUCAACUUUGAGGUCAACUAUCUGAUAUCUCUUUUGGAAGGGUUGAUACUAUACCUUAGAAACUCAUUAAGAGUAAAUUAUCCAUUCUUUAAUUUACCCCUUACUUCUUGUUUCUUAACUUUGUGGCUUUUUGAUAUAUAUUUUUUCUAUGUGAGUGAUCUUGACAGGAAUUUAAAAAAUAGCUAUGUUAGAAAGUUGCAGGGUGUGGUUGGGAAUGAGGAAGUCGAAAUUUUGUUCUCUAUCCAAAAUCAUCGUCCUCUUUUGUGAAACAAAACUUAUUUAAACUUCGGUAGUUAUUCAUUUAGCUGCAAGUUAAGUAAUUUAUGUUGUUGGACGGCUGAUUUUUCUUUCAUAUAUAUUUAUAUGUAGAUGUUUGUUUACAAUACUGCUCUGCUGUUUGCUUUUUAUGUGUAGAUAUCUGCUUUAAUUUCCUUUUCACAUUAUUUGGUUACCAAUCUAUUCCCCAAAGCUCUUCUUUAAAUGGUUUCUUAUGCUCUUCUCGCUUUCUCUCUGUUGUCUAAUUGGUUUUACUUCUCUACAUGCCAAGUAAUAUAAUAUAGAGGAAAUAGUGUAAAAGAGAAUGUACUAAAAAGUGAGGAGUAAUAAGUGUAAAAUAUUUAUGAAUAGAGAGAAUAUUAAAGAUAAAAUCAAUGUAAAAUAGAAAUCACAAAGCUCAAGAAAAUUCAUAGAAUUAAUAAACUAAUUGAUCUCCUAUUCAUUCUAUCUUACUACUCAUCCCGUCCCAUAUUAGUUGGUCAUCUUACUAAAAAUAGUUAUCUCAUAUUAGUUGGUCACCUUACUAAAUGAAAAUGGCAUUAAUCAAAGGAUUUUUGGGUUUUAGACUGCUAAAGAAGCAUGGAUAAUCUAGAAGAAAGAUAUAGUGUGGCCAAUGCCUCACAGUAUUAUAGCCUUCAACAUGCUAUAAAUUCCACUACUCAAGGUUCUCUUGAUAUAGCCAGUUAUUUUACCAAACUCUAGGGACUUUGGGAUAAAUUAGAAACAUAUUUCUUUGGAAACCCUGUGUUUGUGGAGCCUUACAUGAGUUGAUUGAGGGGCAACAUAUCAUUCAGUUUCUAUCAUGGUUAAAUGGCACAUAUUCCACUAUGAGAAGCAAUUUAUUCUAAUAUGAUAAGUUUCUCUCUUGAUAUUGUUGUCUUCCAUGUUUCUUCGAUUCUUCUACUCUUUUUAGGCCUAGUGGUUCAUAUCCUAUUUAAGUUGAUGUUGGUUCUGUAUCUAAUUCCAUCUCUCAACAGUCAACUUCUGCAAGACCUCCACCAAACAACUAGGGAAAUUUUCCCCAAAUAAUAAACUAUGAGUUCACAUAUAACAAAUUCAUGGUUUCUUGCAACUUCAGGGUUUUUCCUCAUAUUUCAAAUUCUCUGGGGGAAAAAGAACUGCAUUGUGUUCAACUAGUUCAAGCUCUAGAUUCUCCUAAUCUUGGCUCUACUACACUUGUUGUUUCUUCCCAUGGAUUUUCUCUAAAAUAAUAUACUCAUCUCCUAACUUUAUUCCAGCAAAUCCAGGCAUCUCCUCAAUCUCAACCAUCCUCAUCCUCUUCUUAGCCAUCCUUCAUAGGUUUGGUCCUUGCCUCUAUGUUUAACAUGAUGGUUCUUUUAUAUGUAAUACUUCACAAUUAGAUUCAAUAUCUUGGAUGCUUGAUUCUGGAGACAAAUCAUAUGACUCCACAAAAAUAUUUACUGCAUGAUCUUCAAACUUUAGUUUUUCCAUCUUUAGUCACAUUACCAAAUAGGUAUAAGGUGAAGGCCACAUCUUUUGGUUCUCUCUCAUUAUCUCCUACCAUUACUCUCACCAAGGUAAUGUUGGUACUUUCUUUAAAAUAUAGUUUGAUUUCUAUUUUCCAACUUCUUUCUUAACUUGAUUGUCAUGCUCUUUUACUACUAUUUCUCUGAAAUUAAAAUUCCCUUCUCUGUAAAGGCCACUAGAAAUUGAUAAAGUUGAGCAUGGACUAUACAUCUUCCACAUACCUUCUGCUUCUCUACCCACUCCUAUUUUGUUGCCUGCUGAUGUGAAUACCUCUGCUGUAGUUUUUUAUUGCUUUUUCUUUGAUUCUUGUCUUACAAGUCAUUGUACUUUUCCUAUUCUUCCUGUACAAUCUAUCCCUAAUUCAAUAAAUAAAAGUGAUGUUUUGUGGUAUCAAAGGAUGGGUCAUUCAACUUUUGUUAAAAUUCUUUCUAUAUCUCAUAUUUCUGCAAAAUUUUCUCCCAAAUAGUCUUUUGUAUGUUCCAUCUACCAUAUGGAAAGACAAUAAAGAAAUCAUUUCCCCACCAGUUCUACUCGUUCUUCUUGAUUUUCCUAUUUUUUCACAUUGAUAUAUGGGGACCCUACCAUACUACCACCUACAAUGGUUUCAAAUAUUUUUUGACUAUUGUAGAUGAUUUUAGUAGAGCUACUUGGACAUAUUUACUCUUUUACAAGAUCAAUGUCUUUUCUGUCAUCAAGGCAUUCAUCACUAUGGUCUCCACUAAUUUUAAUACCUUUGUUCAAACCAUACGUACUGACAUUACUUUUGAGCUAGGUUAUUCUUUCUGAACAUCUCUCUUCCUUAGGCAUAAUGCAAUAAAGCACAUGCUCCAACACUCCACAACAAAAUGGUGUUAUUAAAAGUAAGCAUAAGCAUCUUCUAGAAACUAUCAUGGCCUUUCUAUUUCAGUCGAAACUUUAUAUUAAAUAUUGGGGUGAAUGUAUUCUGAUAUCCACAUACUUAGUAAACAAAUUUCCCUUCACUAUUCUAUCUAAUACAACUCUUUUUGAAAUUCUUUAUAGUGUCCUUCGAUCAUAUACUCACCUUAGAUCCUUUGGUUCUCUAGAUCAUGCUAUUGUACCUGUUUCUCAUAGGGACAAAUUUCAUUCUAGAGUUAUCGCUUGUAUAUUAUUAGGUCAUGCUUUUGGUAAGAAAGGGUACAAGUUUCUUCAUUUGCAGAAUCAUUCCAUUUUUUAAUCUAGAGAUGUUACUUUUGUUGAACAUAUUUUCUCUCACUUAUUUUCCUUCAACAUUGUUUUCCAAUGAUUCUCCUCAUCCUCCAUCUUCUGUCUCUCCUCCACCCCUUAGAAAAUCUUCUAGGACUACCAUUUUCCUGUACAUUUGCAGGAUUUUAUCUAUCAUUCAAUUCUUUCUCUCCUAUUUCAAUUUCUCCUUUUCCUCAUUCUACUAAACCUUUACACUACUAGCAAGCAGUUCUCUAUCUGACCUUCUUGGCAGGAUCCCAUAACCAAAGAAUUUCUAGCAUUGGACCUCAAUCACAUAUUUAUUGUUUCACUUUCACCUGAAAAGAAAGUUAUACCUUCAAAAUGGGUGUACAAGAUUAAACACAAGUAUGGUGGUAUUAUUAAACGCUAUAAUGUCAAACUUAUUGUCAGGGGUGAUAUUCAAAAAAUUGGUAUUGAUUUACUGAGACAUUUUCCUUUAUUUUCAAGUUCACAAUCAUUAAAUGUCUUUUUACUAUUGUUGCUAAGAAAUGUUGUACUAUCUAUCAACUUAAUGUGAAUAAUGCUUUUCUAUAUGUGACUUGUUUGAGGAGAUUUACAUGAAGAUCUCAUUGGGUCUCACUGUUUCUUCUCCUCCUGGUUCUACUACCCUUUGUCUUGUAAGCUUCGUAAAUCACUAUAUGGUUUAAAUCAAGCCUCUCGAUGAUGAUUUGAAAAUUGUCUUCAACUUUAACUUCCAGAGAUUACUUUCGUAGCCUUAAUGACUAUUCUCUAUUCACUAAGGUGUCAUUUCUCUCUACUGUAAUCCUUGAUGUACAUGUUGAUGAUAUUUUAGGUGAUGAUAUUGGGGAAAUGGAUUCCUUGAAAUGCUUCUUGGAUGAUCAUCUUAAAAUUCAAGACUUUGGGGAUAUUUAUUAUUUCUUAGGCCUUGCAGCCCACGGGGUACCUCAAGGUUUUCUUGUUAGUCAGCAUAAAUAUACGAAGGAAUUGAUAGAAGAGUUCCAUUGUUCUGGUUGUUAUUCUGUGGUGAUUCCUUUAGAACCCUACCCCAAGCUUCUACCUAACUCUAGAACUUUGCUUCCUGAUCCUUCUUCUUUUAGAAAGCUUGUUGGUAAAUUAAAUUCCUUACAGCACACUAGGCCUGAUAUUUUCUUCUCAGUUCAACAGUUAAGCCAAUUUCUCAAAGCUCCUAGUUCUUCUCUUAUGCAAGUUGUUUUACAUGUUUUGAGAUAUUUGUUGACUGAUCUUGCUAAAGGCAUUUUCCUCUCUAAUUCUGUUGACUUCACUCUUAAACAUAUAUUCUAAUUGGGUUGCAUGCUCUAUUUCACGAAAAUCUGUUACUGGGUUAAUCAUUACUUUGGGUUCUAACUCUAUUUGCUAGAAAUCAAAGAAAUAAUCCACAAUUUCUUUAUCUUCAGCUGAGGCAGAAUGUAGAGUUCUUCGCAAAACUAUUACUGAGUUGACUUGGCUUGUUCAACUAUUAUCUAAUCUCUCUAUUUUUAGUUAAUCACCUAUUCAUUUUUUUUGAAUGACAACUAGGUUACUUUGAGCAUUACUAGAAAAUUUGUUCCUGCACGAGCACAUCAAGCAUAUUGAGCUGGAUUUCAUUUUGUUCACAAUAAGCUUGAUGGUGCUCUUAUAUAUUUUCAAUACAUUCCCACUCGCUCUCAGUUGGCUGAUAUCCCAUGUUUUGAUGGCCAAGAUGGGACUUCACUCAACCUCUAGCUUGAGGGGGUGAUUAUGAUUAAUGAUUUAGAUCCAAGCCCAAGUGCACCAGAUAUUGUCCCUUUGUAAUUAUUGUUUAGCUUAGUCCAUUCAUUUUUUUUCUUAAUGUGUGUAUUUGUCCUUACAAAUGAUGGGUUACGACGCAUUACAUUCUCAUAAGGAAAAAUAAGAGUUAUGAUUUUUCUUUCAUUUUCUCAAGUUUUCUAGGAUUUUCUUCACACAAAUUACCUGGAUAUGCCCCGUAUCUUGAGAAAAUUGAAGGAAAGGUGUCUUUUAAGUCUUGAAUAAAGGAUUGGUGACUUUCACAACCUUAAAGGGUCAAACAUCAUUAGAAAACUUAAUUAAGUUAAUUGUAGACUUGAUUAAUAUUUUUAAAACUUUCUAAUCUUUUCAAAAAUACAAAUUAACCCAACCCACACCCCUCUUCAAUCCAAAUCAGCCACACUCUCUCUCUUCAGUUUCUCUCAACUCUCUUCCAACUAACAGUUCUGGAAAAUUUCUCCCUUCAACCUCCAUAGAUAAAUAGUCGGGCAAGUUCCUUUUCGACUUUCAACAGUUAACCGACGUGAAAACUUCUCUGAUAACAACAACUUUGAGUUCUUCGUUGUCCCAUUUCCUUUUUCACAGGUAAAAAAUUAUGAAGAAAUAGAGAAACUUGAGCCAACUACUCUUAUAGUAUUGAAAUGUGGACUAAAUAAAACCCUAAUUUCUGUCACUUCUUCUUGUUGUUGUCGUACUAUUGAUUAGAAUUUGUUGGUUUUUGUUGUCACAGUUGAUGUUCUUAGUAUGUGUGUGUUGGUGUUGCUGGGUUGAUUUGUUGUUUGUCUUAGUAAAAAUGGUAUUACAACAGAUGAAACAUCUGAUGCAACAAAUGAAACAUUUGAUGCAACAGAUGAAAAUCUGAUGCAACUAUGAAAAUCUAAUACAACAGGUGAACAAUCUAACAGAUCAUUCAUCUGUUGCGACAGACGACUCUUCUGUUUGGAAGAAAUCUAAAUAAUAUUGAUCCAACAGAUAACUGAUUAGUGAUCUAUUUUUAAUCUUUCCAAUGGUUUACUCUUUAUUUUGCAAUAGAUUAGUGACUAUUUUUAUUCUUUCUAAUAGUUUACUUAUCCGUUGCAAUAGGCUGGUUAUAUGUUGCAAUAGAUAACAUACAUGGUGCAACAAAUUAGUGAUCCAUUUUUAUUCUUUCCAAUGGUUUACUCAUCAGAUUCAAUAGGUCGGUUAUAUGUUGCAACAGAUAACAUACCUGGUGCAACAUAUUAGUGAUCUAUUUUUAUGGUUUCUAAUAGAUUACUCAUUUGUUGCAAUGGGUCGAUUAUAUGUUGUAUCAAAUAAAAUACCAGGUGCAAUAGAUUGGUGUUGUUUUUAUGAUUCCCACGGAUUACUCAUCCGUUGUAAUAGGUCGGUUAUAUGUUACAACAGAUAACAUACUUAGUGCAACAUAUUAGUUGUCUGUUAGAACUGUUAUAUUACUGUUAUGCAUUAAUCAAUUAUAAUCUAUGUUAUGUUAUAUUAAUUUAAGAUAACAUGGAUUCCAAAAGAAAAGAAAUCAAAUCAAUUCCAAGUAAAGGAACAAGUGCAGCAGCUCAGCUACAUCCACUACUCUAUGAGAUUGCUUUACAAGUGUUAUCUCAAUCCGAAGUAGAAGAUAAUGAACACGGGGAGGAAGAAUCUCUAAAAAGAGAUGAUUCAAAUUCUAAUAGCCCUUUCGCUGAAGAGUUGGUCAAAACCUUCAGUAUUGAUAGUUAUCCUAUGAGAAUGCAGUACGAUCGUGCCACAGAUUUACCAGGUGAUCUCGUGGUUAAGUCAGUCAUGGGAAAAUCUUUUGACGCCUUCAGAAAAUUACUUUGGGAAUAAAAUUGGAUUCUUAUUUCAGGGAAAGCUGCUUUGGGAAAUAUCUUAAUUUGCCGAAGGAAAACAAUGCUCGUUUCCAGAUAAAAAUAGAAUAUGAUCUUCUCAAGCGUAGGUUUAUGUAUGAAAAUAAAGAUAAGAUGGAUGAGGUGCGGAUAAAUUACUGUGGCAUGCCUUUUUGUUUUGGUUGGAAGGAGUUUGCCAUAGUUACUGGACUAUAAUGUUAUCCUCCUUGUCCUUCUCAAGUUAUACCUACUCUAACCCAAAAAAAAGCACCCCGCACACCUAAAAAAAAACAAGUCGAGUGACCGUGAUGAUCUGGUGUCCAUUGUUGGUCCAAGCUUUAAAAAUAAAAAUUUGAUAGAAGUGUUGAAAUGUAAAGGACUUUCAAAUAAGCACAAGCAAUCAUUGUGCUUGGUUUGGUUUGUACAUAAUGUUCUUUGGGUGAGAGACGUUAACAACAACAUAAGCCUCAGUUUAAUAAAUCUCUCUGAGAAUGUUGAGGUAUUUAACUGCUAUCCUUGAGGUUAUGAAAGCUUCAAAAUGACUUUUAAAUAUUUGUUGACUCCGUUAACGCCAAAAAUAGUCAACUUAUAUGGCUUUCCAUGGACUUUCAUGGUAAAUAUUUCUUUUAUCAUGAUAUGAUUCAUCAUUUUUUAUUCAAUAAUGCUUUUGAUUUAUUGGUGUUAUUUUAUAGUCUUGGGCAUUUGAAGUCAUUCCUUAUUUGAGACAACAAGUGAACUACCAGGAAGAAGUUUCCUGUCCAAGAAUUCUGAGACGGUUGUCAUCCAAAACCGAUAAAAAUACAAAAUUUCUUGAUCUUUUCAAUCCCCCCAAGGAAGUAGUAUGUCCAAUUCUAAUCAAGUUUUUGUUUUAAUUAAUGAUUAAAUGAUUUCAUCAUCAUUCUUAAUAUAUGUGCCGAUUUAUUUUAGAUUGUCCAUCCAUGGCUUGUUCUGACCAACCGAGAGUUGAAAAUACCAUUUUUGCUUACUUUAUGGUCUGUGCAAACUUUAUCGGACCCUAAGGUCGUUGAUGGAAUAAAAAUGGAAUUGUUUAGAGAAACAACCAUCACAAAAAAAAAACAAUUUUUGAGGGUGGGGCUAAUGAUGCUCCUCUUACAAUUUUUGAAACAAGCCAUUAUGAUUAUGAUCAUAAUGGUUGUACAGAUUUUUCUCUAGAUUUUCCCGCAUCUAGAGAAUGUUCUCCAUGCAAAUGUCAAGAUUGCAAGGCUAAACACGAUGGAGUGAUUAAUGUUAUUAAUGCACUAACUGCUUCUGUAAAAGAAAUGACAUCUAAGAGGGGUGUCAUUCCAUCAAAGAGGAUUUCAUAUCCACACACUCCACUAGAGAUCAAGGUAGCUAAGAGGAGAAGAAAAGACACUUCUAAGGCAUCAUUAAUCAUCAAAAAAAGCAAGAUUGCAAUGCUUCCGUCUUUGUCUUACACCGAUGUUCAGUGUACAAGGGCCACAGGAGAGAGAAUGAGCUGAAGAAGGUGAAUGUACAUCAUCUGUUCCAAAAAUAAACAGACACAUAUCUAUUUCAACAAAUGAUACAUCUUCUGAAAAUUAUCAACUAGAUAUAUACAUCUGCUGCAACUGUUGUCUAACCUGUUGCAUCGGAUUAGUUAUCUAUUUCAAUAGAUAAGUCUUAUGUUGCAACAUAUGGGCCAUCUGUUUGAAAUUAUCAUACUUCUCUAAUUUAUUUUUUUGAAUUUGUCCCAACAGAUAAUCCAUUUGAUGUAGCAUAAUACUCAUCUAUUGCAACAGAUGGACAAUCUGUUGUAUAUCUCUACUUAGCAUUGACAAUUCUGGCUUUCCAGGUAGAUGUCAUGGUAGAAACUACUGCCGAAGAGCAUAAUAUCACAGUUGAUAAUCCAUUAACUACUUCCAAAGAUGAAGAAAAAGUGGAGCCUGUCAGUUUGAGAGAAUGAAAGAAUUACCCGUUUGAAGGGUUUGACAUCUCGAACGAGGCUCCAAGAAAACUAAUGCAGUUGAUCAACGACUAUUCAGAAUAGAUUGCCGAUGGGCUGUUAAAGAAUCAUGACAGCAGGUACAUAAAUCAAUUUUAUAGAUAUUGGUUUAUGCAAUUCUUGUUGUAAGAAUCUGACAUUAACACAUAUAAAUCAUCAUGUAGAAAACAAAAUGACGAGCGCUACAAAGUGAACGAAUAGAGUCUUGGUUUUGAUAUGCUCGACUUUGUUGUUGCACAUCCUAGAAUGAAGAACUGGUUCUAUUUGAUGUCACAGCCCCAAACUUGCUGGAAUGAUGAGGUUUAAAUGCCAUACAUAUUACUAUAAAUUAAUACUUUAUUUAAUUGCAUCUGUGUAUUGAUUUUUCUGUCACAUAAUCCAAAAUAUUUGAUAAUAUGUGUAGCACAUCGAUACCAUUUUUUACUACCUCUGAAAGAAGGCCAAGUUGCAAACAUAAGAACAAUACAGAUACACAACAGGCAAUUAUUUGUACAAAGUUUACAUCAAUAAUGCCUACGAUAUGUAUUGUCAAUAGCAGGCAAAAGUUUCCUGAAAUGAGGAAUGCUUAAUCAACAUCAUCAAAGGUUUUAGCACUUCGGUUGGCUUACCUUAUCAUUUGGUUGACGAAGUGUACAUCCCAAUCAAUUGUUGUGAUGAAUUCCAUUGGGUGUUAGCUGUCUUCAUUCUAAAAUAGAGAAGCAUCCGCGUUUAUGACUCGAUGUCACGAAGGAGAUGUUCUGGGCCGUCAUCUGAGUUAAAAAAGCUGGACAAAAUAUUGCCUACUUACCUUGAUAUGAGUGGCUUUUUGGACCAAAAGGUUAGUACUGAUUGGUCGACGAUUGAAGCAUACCGGGAUAAAAUGGGUAAUCCAUUUGAUGUACAAUAUGUUGACAGAAUUUUUCAAUAAACCAUUGGUAGCCUGUAAGUUUAAGUGUCAUGAUUUAGUUUCAUUUCACAACGCUUUUAUGAACUGCAAGAUAUGAAUUAUCUAUUUUUUAUAAUGUAGGGAUUGUGGUCCUUUUGUUGCCACUUAUACCGAGUAUUUUAGCGAUGGAUUAUAAGUACCAAAUAAUGGACUUGAUGCCGGAUUACUCUGCAAAAUAUAUGCUCCUCUUUUAUGCAAAUACAGAGAAGGGAAAGCUCAAAAGUCAUACACAACUGACGUUAAAGAUCCACGACGACCAAAUCCGAAUUCUGUAGCCCUGAAGAACAACUUGUCCAUAUUGAUUAGAUCUUUAUAGCUUGAGUCCAUCAAUGUAAUAACCUAUCCUCCUUGGUUUAACUUAUUGAUUUAUUUGUAGAGUAUAUCGUUUGUACCCAUAAUGAUUUUUUUUACAUUUCAUUUAUUUGUUGACUUAUUUCAUAUAAUUUCCGAAGGCUUCGAUUUAUUUUAUUCUGUCUAUAAGUAUAAUUAAUCCUUAGUUUUGAACAUAUUAAUUAAAAUGGAGUACUAGAUUCAAAUAUCGCAACCGAUAAUACAUCUGCUGCAACAGACGACAUAUCUUAUCAGACAGAUUUAGACAUAUAUUACAACAUGAGAUGCAACACAUAGGUCAUCUGCUGGAAAUUAUAUAACAGGUCUUCCUACUUUUUUGAAUUGCUCCAACAGAUUAUAGAUCAGUUGCAACAGAUAGAUUAUAUGUUGCAACAGAUCAUAUUUUUGUUGCGACAGACAGACUGGGAACUUCUGCAUAACGCAAUAGAUGACCAACCUAUUCCAACAGAUAAUCAAUCUAUCACAACAAGUACUAUAUCUGUUACGACAGAUAUAAAAUCUAUUGCAUUAUAAAAAUUCAACUUGGCCAGACAUAAAAUUUUUUGCCACUACAUGUAAAUUGAAUUGGCUUGAAAUGAAAAUUUGUUAUCAUGUUCGUCUCUGUGUUUGUACAUGUUAUUUUUUAUACACGGGAUCCAACCAUUUAGUUAGUACCCCAUAUGCCCAUACCCAUUGCAUCUUUCCUAUAAUGGUGUCGCACAUACCGAUCAUUUGUGUGCCGAUCAGCAAACACUAGAUGUAUACAAGAAAGUACGGACCACACGCUGCAUUGGUUAUAUUUCUUGGGAUCUGGAUGUUCUUAUUUAAACCUUUAAAAUCCCAUAUUCCUUUGCCAAGACUUCAGCCGGCAAAUGAUCCAUCAGCUUUUUCUACGUCAAUAACUUGGGCAACAACUUCAACAGUGGUUACAUGUGGGUUAAAAAUGUCUUCUCGCUGAUAAUAGGUAAGUUGCAUUCAUAAACCUUAAUAUUUUCCUCAUAUAGUAGUAUCUCAACAGUGAGAAAAUAUGUGACAUCUACGUUCAUGACUGCAAGGAUUAUCCUUUCCUUGGUCCAGCUCUUGUCGUGUGGAUAUGGCCUCUUCCCUCUAAUAUCUUUAAUCACUUCUUCAUCUAAUUGGAAUGUAGAAACUAACUUAUCAAAUCCCGGCCCAUUGGAAUCAGCUAUCUUACAGAGUUUAGCGUACAUAUCCUUGAAAUUAUUGUAGAAGUUGAGAUCUAUUAUCCUAUCGCCUGCAUCAUAAGCAUCCGAGUACGCCAAUGGCCUUCGCCUCAUGAGGUAGAGAAUUUUAUCAACAUACUGUGGUAUAAGAAGACAAUUUUUAAAUAGGUUAUUAAUUGUAAAGAAUAAAAACACAGUGGAAAGAAUCUGAUACUGAGGGUUCUCUGAAUCAGUUCACAGAUUACCCAGCCAACGUAACUUAUGCAACAUAUAUGCAUUAUGUUGCAACAGAAUACCAAGUUUUUGCAACAGAUUAUACAUCUGAUGUCUAGAUUAUUUUUCAUGGAGUAUAUUGGAAGUCUAGCUUAGCAAAAGUAAACUUACCUUGUCCUCAUACCACACGCACAUAUUUGUCAUAUUUGAAAAGUCUUUGCCAGCAAAUGAAUGCAUGGUGUAUUCUUUUUGAACCUUCAUCUUGAUAAAUUCUUCCAGUUCCUUCUUAUUCUCCUUGCCAAGAACUGCAAAUAUGUCCACCUUCUUCGGCGGCCCCUGAACUUCAACAACUAUUGGAGCGGGGGGAGUUACAAUUUUUGCUGAUUUCAGAAUGAAGACAAUUUGUCUAAUUUUUCUGCUUUUUCUCCUAACCUCCACUGUAGGAGUACAUGGCUCCCUUACAUCGUUGGAUAGUAUGACACCCCUCCUAGAUUUUAACUCCUCGGCAACUUCAGCAAUAGCCUUUAGCUUUUCAAGGAGUUUAUCCUCUCUAUCCUUGCACACUUUGCAUUUGUAACGAGAAUAUGAGGGUGGGGAGGGGUGAGAGGGACCACUGUAAGAGUGGGAGGGACUUGUGUAGGGGUGAGAGGGAGAACCUAUGCAAGGGGUAUUUUCAAACAUGUUUAUUUUUUGCUGAGCACCAAUAUACAAAUAAUCACGACUGGCAGUAGAAGCAGCAGUAGGAUGGCUUCCACCAUCACAAACAACUCCACUAGCAAUACUCCCAGAAGAAGCACCCGGAUCUGUUGCAGUUUGAAGUUGGUCGUAAAGAGCUUCAACAUUAGGCUGACCUUGCUUAACUGCUCUUCUUAUGAAUGUUGCUCCAUCCAAUUCCUUCUUUAUUAACUCCACUGUUGGGUCUUCUUUUGUAUCAACAAGACCCAGAGUAAGAAAAGAAGUCAUCCCUAGCUCAUCAAUGGUAGGAACGAUCUAAUGAUGCACAACCUAUAAAAAAAGACAAGAGGAAUUUAAAUUAUAUAAUAAUAAUUUGAAGUCAGUUGGGUUACAUGAGGCUCGGGUUACAUGGAUGUUAACAUAACCUACUUAUGCAAUAGACGAUCUAGCUACCGCAACAGCUAAUUUGUAUGUUGAAACAGAUUGAUAAUAUGUUGCAUCAGAUUACCCAUCUGUUGUAUAAUUUGCAGUAGAUGGGUAAUCUGUUGAGUAGGGUCCAGAGAACCAGAGCAACAUAUGGUUAAUCGGUUAUGAAAUAUGGAUCAUCUGUCGUAACAAAUUACCUAUCUGUUGCACCAGUUGCAGUUGAUGGGUAAUUUGUUACAACAGAUGACCCAUCUAUCGCAAUAGAUGGAAUAUAUGUUUCAAUAUCUUUCUUUGAGGUAAAUUAUUUUAGUUUAAAGAAGACGUAAUGCAUCAUCCAAAGGGUUAAAGAGAUCAGCCUCAUUAAUAUUUUUUUUGCUUCUCUCUGCUGUAGCCAACCAUCUAAGGAUCCUUAGAUGAGAAGCCUUAUCCGGAUAAUCCUUGAAAUGCUUUUGGAGUAGAGGAAUGGCUUCAUAUGCCCAAGACUAAAAAUUGUAAACAGAAAACAAGCAAAAAAAAAGUCAUAACUAUAUUUAAUAUAAAUUAAUGAAUGAGUAAAAAUAGUGAUCAAUUUUACCUUGAAAGCCUAAAGAAAUCCAUAUAAUGUGGUCGUCUUUGGCUUUAGCUUUUUCAGUAAAUAUUUGAUAGUCAAGUAGUAGCUGUCGUAUCCCCAAGGAUAAUCAUUAAAUUUCCCAAAAUCAUCAGCAAGCACCAACAAAUCAUGUUCGAUGAAUUUCUUAACGUCUCUUGCCAAUAAAAUGGAAUGGACAAACCAAACUAAGAACAAUUUCUCUGUGUAGUGCUUUGGUAUGUCUUUAUUCUUAAGAUCCUCCAUCAAAUCCUCCACUCUGUAGCUCGGCCAACAAUUCCCAACAACCCAUCUUUUUUUACCUUGCAUUUGUUGGACCCUUUGUGGGGUGUUUUCUUGAUGGGAGGUUCUUCUAGACGCUCGCAUCUCAAGCCCUUCACUAUGGUAAACUCUUUCAAUCCAAAACAAAUCGGCAUGCCACAGUAGUUGAUCCAGACUUCAUCCAUCUUUUUACCUCCCUCCUUCUGACCUCCAUCAUCCCCCGUAUACUUUAUCCUGUGCUUGAGAAGGAAAUAUACCAUGAUCAUUGGAAAAUGGAGAGGGCAGUCCCCAGAAAGCUCAAGAAAGUAUGCAAAGCAGCUCUUCUUGUCCAUCUAUGUUUUUCUUCUUCAUAAUACUCCUAAGUUCGUCAAAAGGUUUCCCCAACUGACAUUUAAGUACAAGAUCACCAAAUACUUCUUUUAGAGCUAUUCAUCGGCAUCACAACUCGAAACUUAUCAAUACUAAUGAUUUUGAUAGAAACAUGCAGGAAUUUUGAUAUUAUUUCAUGCCCCAUUAGUGAAGAGGAGUUAUCACUUUCCUCAGCUUCACUUUGCCCUGACUGAGAUUGUUCUGGAAGUUCCUCUGAAUCUAUCUGUACUCUAGCCUUUUUUGUUUUGUGAUCAGAAGUUGAUCCACUGUCAGUUUCUUUUCUUUUGGGAGACAUAUUUUAACUACAAAUAAUAAAAAAAAUAAAAAAUUUGAUGUCUUCAUAAUUUUUUAAAAAAGUGAGAAAAAUUUCAAUAAAUUAUUCUACACCAAAUAACCAAAAAAAAUACUCCAACGGAUAACCCAUCAGUUGGAACAGAUGGGGAACCCGAAUCUGUUUGAAGACCUAUUUAAUAUCUCCCAACAGAUAUUCUACCUGUUGCAACAGAUGGACAAAUUUCAAUAAAUUAUUCUACACCACAUUACAAGAAAAUACUCCAAUGGAUAACCCAUCAGUUGGAACAGAUGGGGAAUCUGUUUGAAGACCUAUUUAAUAUCUCCCAAAAGAUCUUUCACCCGUUGCAACAGAUGGACCACCACCACCACAACCAAUUCCACCACCAAUGCCACUAAUACCAACACCAAGACCACCGAUACCACCGCCAAAAAACAUAAAUAACAACACCACCAACAACGUCCACCAACUACACCACAACUACUAUCCAACAACACCACGACUGUCAACAAAACAAUGAGAGAAAAACUAGUAUUUUCUCGGGUGCUUCCUACUUUUUUAGCAUCAAAACUCAAAAUUGUUAACCCAUCUCAAAGAUAAUACAACUAAAAGUUUUAUUUUUCAUCAUUAACUAAAAAGCCUAAUUUUUUAGAAUAAAGAACAAAUGUAGAACUCUUAUUGAACUUUGUUACCUGCGAAGACAGAGAAAACAACAGAUACAAGUGGGAAUGAAGUCAAAAAACAACUAUAUAUAGUCAUAAAUGGGAAAAAAAUUGACCUGUUUUGAAGGGUUAAGCAAUAUGUUGAGUAGUUGUUGAGAGAGAGAGGAGACCAGAGAGAGAGAUAAAAGAGAUAGAACUUAAGAUUUGAAAUGAAAAGUUUUUUGCUCAAAUAGAUGAUUUGUAUGGUUUGAUUUGUAAUUUUGGAAAAGAAUGACAAGUUUUGAAAUUGCUAAUUUAGUCCGAAUUGAUCUUAAUUAAUUUUAAAAAAUUUAAAAGAUAUAGUUUUUAAAAUAUUGAGUUGAUGAGAACUCAUUUCAACUCAGAGUGCUCAAUCAAUGACUCAGGUCAGGAUGAAUGCAAUACCAACGCCAUACAAUUGUAAAGACUUGAAUGGAUUUGUAGUUGACCCUGUGAGCUCAUUCAUUCAUCCCUAGUUCCACCUAAAACAACUUAGGUACUAUCACUAUCCUAACAUUAAGUUGAUGAGAACUUGUUUCAACUUAGAGUGAUCGAUGGAUGACUCGGGUCGGGAUGAACGCAAUACCAAUGCUAUGCAAUUGCAAAGACUCGAUUGGAUUUGUAGUUUACCCUGUGAGCUCAUUCAUUCAUCCCUAGUUCCAUCUAAAUCAACUUAGGUACUAUCACUAUCCUAACAUUGAGUUGAUGAGAACUUAUUUCAACUAAGAGUGAUCGAUCGAUGACUCGGGUUAGGAUGAAUGCAAUACCAAUGCCAUGCAAUUGCAAAGACUCGAUUAGAUUUGUAGUUGACCCUGUGAGUUCAUUUAUUCAUCCCUAGUUCCACCUUACAUAACUUAGGUACUAUCACUAUCCUAAAGUUGAGUAGAUGAGAACUCAUUUCAACUCAGAGUGAUCAAUCGAUGACUCGGGUCGGGAUGAAUGCAAUACGAACGCCAUGCAAUUACAAAGACUCGAUUGGAUUUGUAGUUAACCUUGUGAGGUCAUUCAUUCAUCCCUAGUUCCACCUAAAUAAACUUAGGUACUAUCACUAUCCUAACAUUGAGUUGAUGAGAACUCAUUUUAGCUUAGAGUGAUCGAUCGAUGACUAGGCUUGAGAUGCACGCAAUACCAACGUCAUGCAAUUGCAAAGACUCAAUUGGAUUUAUAGUUGACCCUAUGAGCUCAUUCAUUCAUCCCUAGUUCCACCUAAAUCAACUUAGGUACUAUCACUAUCCUAAUAUUGAGUUGAUGAGAACUUAUUUCAACUCAGAGUGAUAGAUCGACGACUUGGGUCGGGAUGAACGUAAUACCAAUGCCAUUUAAUUGCAAAGACUCAAUUGGCUUUGUAGUUGACCCUGUGAGCUCAUUCAUUCAUCCCAAGUUCUUCCUAAAUAAACUUAGGUAUUAUCACUAUCCUAACAUUGAGUUGAUGAGAACUCAUUUUGUAAUGACCCGAAAUCGCCUCUCGGGACGUCACACGGUGCUUAAGGGUAUAAGUAGCCCCAAGCUAACCCUUAGAGCCAGUUUCUACCCAAACACCCAACUUAAGAUAAGGAUAGACUUAAACACUUGCAUAGACAAAUAAUAAAAAAGGAAAUAAGAAAGGAUAAUUGGUUCAUAUGACCACAACAUAGAGAAAUCACAACAAAAUCACAAUAUUGAUCCCUCUCGACAUAUCAUAAGUCUGAUAUCAGUCUGACAAAGUCUCUAUUAAUCAAAAUCUAGAGAACCAUUGGGACAGGCCCCAACUGACAUGAAAUAGAAUGGAAAUAAAACAUAGUCUCUUAAGCACAGUAAAUAUUUUAAGAUCGGUUCUUGAACUAGGAGGACUCACCACUGUAGAAAACGUAGGCAAGGCUCUCAGAGAAUCACGAGUGAGGCUGGGACUGAGCACCUGAACCUACAUUAUAAGACAAUAUAGCACAUAUACAUAUAUGUGGAUCAGUACUUUGGAAUGUACUGAGUAUACGGGGGUGCAUGCAUAUGUAUAAAGUAGUAACGAUAUUUUCUUCAAUCAAAUCAUGUAUGCAUAAUAAGAUGACUCACAUAGCUUGAACAAGGGUAAAAUAUGAAACUCAUAAGUCUUGUGGAAUGAAAAAUGUAACACAAUCUUGUGAGUCAUCAUUAUUUAACUUCAAAAUCAGAAAUCUUCUCUUACUCUCAAUUCCUAAAGGUUAAGGGAUUUCAAACCACACUUUCAAGUCAUGCAUAUAUAUCAAGAGAGUAAAGGUUCUUCAAUUCUCAACACUUCACAAUCAUUUAGAAACUUAUAUACUUGGAAUUCGAAAUUAUAAAACUUGAAAACAUACUUGAAGGGAUUUCAUUCACUUUAGAAAAUAUCUCAUCUCAAAUCAAUACCUUGAUUAGGGAAUAUAUUUGCAAUUUAACCAUUUAGGGAAAAUAGAUUAUAGGGAAGGGAAAUAAGCAUUUAAUUUUGAAGUUCGAAAGGCUAGGAAGGUUCUCGUAACCGACAUAAACCAUACGAGCUAUAUGGAGUCCAAUAUUUUGUCCUCCUAAGGAAGAGACCCCCUGUUGGGGAGGAGCAUCAUACUCUUGCCAAGGAGUAUAUAACCUAGGUCUAGUGAUCACUAAACAAAAAUCAACCUGGGCCCACAUAAUAAAAUUGGUCUCAGGCCCACUCAUAAUCAUAAUAUAAUCAGCCUCAGGCUGACAUCCUAUGGUGGCAUGUAGUUUUUGGGGUAACAAAUCAUAGUAGCUUACCCGCUCGGUGCUAAAUUACUCCUUUUAGAUUAUCUGCGCUCAUCUCAUAAAAAUCCACUUUUAGAACAAUCACAUGGUUCACCACAAACCCAAUAAUCAAAUCAAUAAUCUCAUAUAGUAAAGUGGAUUUCAAAUCUUUCGGACCAUUAGGUCAAUUCAAAUUUCAACCAUCUCAAAAUACUCAAAUCAUGGGUGCUUAUAGCACGAGAGUUCAUAAUUUCAUAAGUCUCGAAUACGGAUUACUAACCCAUAGUUUAAUUUCAAGUUAAAGCUUAUCAAAAGCAUAAUAUAUAGCAUAUAGAUUCAUAAAAGAUGUGGAAAUCUAGAAAUUUCGGCAAUUCAUCUCAAAAUCUCAAUGUAGUCAUAUGCUUCAAUAUCUCAACAUUUUAAAUAUAAGCUUCUCAAGAGUAAAGUCAUGGAGUUUAUCCAGCUAUAAAAACUCAAGAAAACAUGUAGAAAUCAUGUCAUUUAACUCUCAAUUCAUGAGAAAUAUCAACAUAAUGCAUUCAAUAAAUAUGGGUGAAAACCCCAAUUCAAACUCAUGUAAAAUCCCUAUAAUUUCAGAAAAAUCAUAAUGUAAAUAAACAUUUUGGGCACAAAGGUGAAAGGGUUACCCAAGUUCAAAACCCUACAUAUCUUGAAUUUGAAGCUUUAGAAGAACUCUCAGUUUUUGAACUCUACUCUUGCUCUAGAAUGAGGGUUCUUGAGACCUUUCACUUGGGAACCUAGAAUCUUGACUUAAUUUAGAAAAUCCAUGGUGAAUUCUUGAGAUUUAUGGAAGAGAUUUUGAGUAUUUAGGGUUCUUGCUGAGAGGAUACUUGAUAAAACCCAUAUAGGAUGCUUCCAAAUGGAUUUGAUUUAGUGUUUCCACGAUUUUAUAGGCUUGGAAAAAGUCCAAAAUGCCCUUUUAAACAACUGUACGAAACUAAAAAAAUUGAACUGGAACCCGAUUUUGCUAGACUCCACGACGCGCCACUAAUCGGGUUGGCUUUCUAGAAAGUGACAAUUGGGAAAUUGACGGCCUCCGCGAUGCGGAGCCAUGCAUUUUCCCAUUGGUUGGGACCUAGGACUCCUCUGCGAUGUGCCACUAUUGCGAAGUCCCACUGGAAAUUGACAAUUGCUAAAUGCACCCUCUCCACAAUGCGCUAGGCUCUCAAAUGACGCAGUUUUCAUGACAAAGGCUUAAAUUGGCCAUAACUUCUUACCCGAGUGUCUGAUUUGGGUAAAUCUUAUAUCGAUGGAAAGCUUAUCAGAUCUCCCAUGUGAUAAAUAUUCAAAGUUGGGGAAACUAUACAUGGUUAGCACAACACUCACUUAGAAAUCCACUUCUCAAUCUUUUAGGGCCGAAAUCACGUCUCACUCGACAUGCCCUAAGGCUUAAACUAUGAGGGAACUUUGCGGCACCUUACAUAUUUCAACUCAGAGUGAUCAAUUGACGACUUGGGUUGGGAUGAAUGCAAUACCAAUGCCAUGCAGUUUAAAGACUCGAUUGAAUUUGUAGUUGACCCUGUGAGCUCAUUCAUUCAUCCCUUGUUCCACCUAAAUCAAUUACAAUGUAAUAUGUAGCAACAAAAAACUGAGUUGUUAAAAAUUUUCAAAUAGUUAUUCAUAUUUUUUGCAACAAAUGACAUAUCUGAUUUAAUUAUCAAUUAGACAUUUUUAUCUGUUGUCAUAGAUGACUAAGCUAUUGGAAAUUUUCAAACAACUAUUUAUAUCUGUUGUAACAGUUGACAUAUCUGAUUUAAUUAAUUAUCAAAUGGAUAUUUUCAUCUGUUGUCACAUAUGACUAAGCUGUUGGGAUUUUUAAACAGAUAUUGAUAUCUGUGGUAAUAGAUGACUGAGCUGUUUGAAUUUCUAAACAGAUAUUUAUAUAUGUUGCAACAGAUUACAUAUCUGUUUGAAAAUCUUUAUUUCUCUUUUAAUUUUAAAGCAAGCUUCUAGUUCGAGUAGAUAAUGUAUCAAGUAGUAGUACUUACUACUAAAGGCAGUAAAAAUGUUUCUUGGAUAUCUCAAAAGUGAGUUCAUUGAGUAGUCUUGUCUUGUCUUUUCAAUGUCACUAGUCUUAGUCUUCCUCGUGCCCCUCAAAUUAUUAAUGAAAUUAAUGAAUAUUACUCCCUUCAUUUCAAAAUAGUUGUCACUUUUUAACUUGGUACUCCCGUUAAGAAAGUAGUUAUUAGGGGUUUAUUUUACCAAAUUAGCCUUAUUAAUUAUGCUUUGAAAAUAUAAAUUUGAGUAAAUAUACUUUGUUUAAUAUUUUUAGAAAGAGGGCCAACUAAAACGAAAUGGAGGGAGUAAUUAAUGAAUAUUGAAAACCCCCAUGUCUACGUACACAAUACAUCUAUAGAAAUUAUCCCAUCUCUUCCUUCAGUUGUAGUUUAUUUUAUUCAACUCUCAUAUUUUUCUUUCUCUUCUUUAGGGUCACGUCCUUUUUUCUCUCUUUUCUCUUCUCUUCUCAUAAAGAUCCUUUUGGAUCUAAACUGAUCCAUAUCUUUCCUCGAUUGAAAUUAUUGUUUUGAUCUCCUUUUUGACAUUAAGGUAUGGUUCAUUGUUGCUUUUUCAUUCUCAUCUUCUUCUUUGCAUGUUAUUUACAUCUAUUUUUUUAAUUUAAUUACUAUUUAUCCAUAUCAUAUUUAUUAAAAAAACUUGAAUGAACUUUUAAGUGUUGAAUAAACAAACUGAGAAUUUUUAUUACAAUAUGCAAAAAAAUUCAUCUGUUGGGAGAAGUUUAAAAGCCUUGUUGGCGGUAUCAUUUUUUUUUGGUACGUAAUUUGUUUGUUUCUUUGGUGUUGAUGUAGUUAUUGAUGUUGUUGGUGAGGUUGGAUUUAUUGGAACUUGUGGUGUGGUGUUGUUAAUGGUUCUAGAACAAAGGAUGUUGCUUCUUUGUUGUUGAUGAUGUAGUUGGAAAAAAUGUUGUUGUUUCUUUAUUGUUGAUAUUUUUUAUUUGCAAUUUAUGCUGUUGUUGAUGUUGCAACAGAUAAAGAAACUGUUGGACCAAAUCAAACCACCAGAAAAGCUGGUUUGAUGUAUUCCAUCUGACUCCACAUCUAUUGUAACAGACUCCACAUUUGAUGCAACAGACUCCACAUCUGAAGUAAUAGAUUCUACAUCUGUCGCGACAGAUGGAUAAUAUUCUUUUUGUGACAUCUAUUUUUUCCUCUUUUUUGUAGAUAUAAGGAACUAAUAGUUGAUCAACUUUUGUCAAACCAUCACAAGAGGCUGC